ACACCCGUGAAAACGCCCUUUAAUUCCAUUAGAUAAUAGGAGCUGGUAUCAGGCACUUUAUUAUGCCCAAAACACCUAGUCACGCCACACCCAUAAGGGAAUUCAGCAGUAAUUAACAUUAAAAAUAAGCGAUAGCUUGAUUUAGUUAAAGUAAAAUAAGGUCGGCAAAUCUGGUGCCAGCCGCCGCGGUUACACCAAGUGACCUAAAUUGAUAUUUAUCGGCGUAAAGCGUGAUUUAAUUUUAUUAAUACUAAAGUGAAACUAUAAUUAAGCUGUGACACGCUUAUCUUUAUGAAACUCAAAGGCGAAAGCCAUUUUAAUUUAUUUUAUUUGAAUUCACGACAAUUGAAAAACAAACUAGGAUUAGAUACCCUACUAUGUUCAAUCGUAAACUUUUCUUUACUAAUUAAUCGCCAGGGUACUACGAGCAAAGCUUAAAACCCAAAGGACUUGACGGUACCCCAUAUCCCCCUAGAGGAGCCUGUCCUAUAAUCGAUAUCCCCCGCUUUACCUCACCAUUUUUAGCUAAUCAAUUUGUAUACCUCCGUCGCCAGCUUACCGCAUGAGCGAUUCUUAGUAAGCUUAAUGUUUAUACACCCAUACGUCAGGUCAAGGUGCAAUUAAUAAAAUGGAAAGAGAUGGGCUACACUCUCUAACAAUUAGAAAAUACAAACAACCAUAUAUGAAACCUGGUCAAAAGGUGGAUUUAGAAGUAAAAAAAACUAGCACAUUUUUUUGAACUCGGCACUGGGGUAUGUACAUACCGCCCGUCACCCUCUUCAAAAUUAAUUUUAGUUUUUAACAUUAUAAAGUAUCUCAGAAGAGGUAAGUCGUAA
rnacentral:ncRNA from 1 species